rnacentral:rRNA from 1 species
UGAGGAAUAUUGGACAAUGGGCGCAAGCCUGAUCCAGCCACGCCGCGUGCAGGAAGACACCCCUACGGGGCGUAAACUGCUUUUAUGUGAGAAGAACCCCCGGGAUGCGUCCCGGGUUGACGGUACCGCAAGAAUAAGCACCGGCUAACUCCGUGCCAGCAGCCGCGGUAAUACGGAGGGUGCAAGCGUUGUCCGGAAUUAUUGGGUGUAAAGGGUGUGUAGGCGGGCGUGUAAGUCAGAGGUGAAAGCCUGCGGCUCAACCGUAGAAUUGCCUUUGAUACUGCAUGUCUUGAGUCCUGGAGAGGUCGCCGGAAUUCGUGGUGUAGCGGUGAAAUGCGUAGAUAUCACGAGGAACACCUGAUACGAAGGUGGGUGGCUGGACAGGUACUGACGCUGAGGCACGAAAGCGUGGGGAGCGAACAGGAUUAGAUACCCCCGUAGUCC